GAUGAACGCUGGCGGCGUGCCUAAUACAUGCAAGUCGAGCGAACAGAUGAGGAGCUUGCUCCUCUGACGUUAGCGGCGCACGGGUGAGUAACACGUGGAUAACCUACCUAUAAGACUGGGAUAACUUCGGGAAACCGGAGCUAAUACCGGAUAAUAUAUUUCACCGUAUGGUUCAAUAGUGAAAGACGGUUUUGCUGUCACUUAUAGAUGGUUCCGCGCUGUAUUAGCUUGUUGGUAAGGUAACGGCUUAACAAGGCGACGAUGCGUAGCCGACCUGAGAGGCUGAUCGGCGGCACGGGAAGUGAGACACGGUCCAGACUCCUACGGGAGGCAGCAGUAGGGAAUGUUCCGCAGUGGGCGAAAGCCUGACGGAGCAACGCCGCGUGAGUGAUGAAGGUCUUCGGAUCGUAAAACUCUGUUAUUAGGGAAGAACAAAUGUGUAAGGAACUAUGCACGGCUUGACGGUACCUAAUCAGAAAGCCACGGCUAACUACGUG
rnacentral:rRNA from 1 species